rnacentral:rRNA from 1 species
GGAAUCUUCCACAAUGGACGAAAGUCUGAUGGAGCAACGUCGCGUGAGUGAAGAAGGUUUUCGGAUCGUAAAGCUCUGUUGUUAAAGAAGAACGUGGGUAAGAGUAACUGUUUACCCAGUGACGGUAUUUAACCAGAAAGCCACGGCUAACUACGUGCCAGCAGCCGCGGUAAUACGUAGGUGGCAAGCGUUAUCCGGAUUUAUUGGGCGUAAAGCGAGCGCAGGCGGUUUCUUAAGUCUGAUGUGAAAGCCUUCGGCUUAACCGAAGAAGUGCAUCGGAAACUGGGGAGCUUGAGUGCAGAAGAGGACAGUGGAACUCCAUGUGUAGCGGUGAAAUGCGUAGAUAUAUGGAAGAACACCAGUGGCGAAGGCGGCUGUCUGGUCUGUAACUGACGCUGAGGCUCGAAAGCAUGGGUAGCGAACA